GACGAACUGUGCGAACGUUAUUCGGAAUCACUGGGCUUACAGGGUGCGUAGGCGGUUGUCUAAGUCCGAUGUGAAAUCCCCCGGCUCAACCGGGGAAUAGCGUUGGAAACUGGACGGCUUGAGUGAGGUAGGGGCGCGUGGAACUUCCGGUGGAGCGGUGAAAUGUGUUGAUAUCGGAAGGAACGCCGGUGGCGAAAGCGGCGCGCUGGGCCUCAACUGACGCUGAGACGCGAAAGCGUGGGGAGCAAACAGG
rnacentral:rRNA from 1 species